rnacentral:rRNA from 1 species
UACGUAGGGCGCAAGCGUUGUCCGGAAUUAUUGGGCGUAAAGAGCUCGUAGGCGGUCUGUCGCGUCGGAUGCGAAAGCCCGGGGCUUAACCCUGAGCUUGCAGUGGGUACGGGCAGACUAGAGUGCGGUAGGGGAGACUGGAAUUCCUGGUGUAGCGGUGAAAUGCGCAGAUAUCAGGAGGAACACCAAUAGCGAAGGCAGCUCGCUGGGACGGUACUGACGCUAAGGCGCGAAAGCGUGGGGAGCGAACAGG